GCCUUAGCUCAGUAGUAGAGUAUCUGCUUUGGGUGCAGAAGGUCUCAGGGUUCCAUUUCCAGGUGGGACU